UACAGAGGGGGCAAGCGUUGUUCGGAAUUACUGGGCGUAAAGGGCGCGUAGGCGGCCUGCUAAGUCGAACGUGAAAUCCCUGGGCUCAACCCAGGAACUGCGUCCGAUACUGGAAGGCUUGAAUCCGGGAGAGGGAUGCGGAAUUCCAGGUGUAGCGGUGAAAUGCGUAGAUAUCUGGAGGAACACCGGUGGCGAAGGCGGCAUCCUGGACCGGUAUUGACGCUGAGGCGCGAAAGCCAGGGGAGCAAACAGG
rnacentral:rRNA from 1 species